rnacentral:misc_RNA from 1 species
AAUGCUCAUUUUUGGAUGAAAUUUAGUUAAAUUUCUCUUUGAAUUUCCAUCUCCAUCUCUUUUUGUCCUCCUCACAAUAAUGUCCAGCCCUGAGGUCACCAUCACUCUCGGCCGCACCGGUCAGGUGGUGACAAAGGGAGGUAAAAGGCCUAGAGGAGAGGGAUUUGAGCGUAGUGGUGAUAGCUUCUUGUUUUCCGCCAACAAAAGGAAUAGAGGGGAUGGUAUGAUGCAGGGUCCUGUCGUUAAUGGAGUUAAUGGAUCCCAAAUUGCCCAAAAUGAUCUUCGAUUGAAGCUGAUGCACAAAAGGUUAUCUAAGAAAAUUCACAAUGUUGUAGAGGAGGAAGGGAAAAUAGACCCACACAAAAAACUGGUGAAAGUCAUUCACCCUCCAACAAGUUCUUCUGUGAGUUCUUACAUGCUGCCACAUGGGCCUGCACAUGAUGGAAGCAAAGUUUCAAGGCAAAUUCUUCCUAAAGAAAUUGCAGAUGAUAUGUGUAAGGUGGACUCUUUGGGGAAAUUUUACUCAUAUCAGCCCAUUGGAGGAUUAGGGGUAAGAUCUACGGAUCAAAUUUUAAAAAGUUAUAGCAGGCUUUCACCACCUGGAAAUUAUGACGAAGAAAUUCGGAAAGUAACAUCCCUAAGGACACCUGAUCUUUCAAGAGGUGGACGGUUUUUGAGUGAUGAGAUUCUUGAUGCCUCUAGAUGGACUGGCACUCCUCCAGUCAUAAUGAAAGCUAGCUCUCAAGCUGGCAAUCUAGUAACAAGGGCAGCACCAGCAAUUGGCAUCGCUCAAACAGUAUCACAUAUGGGGGAGGAACCUCAAACUCUUGCCGGCUUCCUGCACUCUCUUGGUUUGGGGAAAUACGUUGUUAAUUUUGAAGCAGAAGAAGUAGACAUGACUAUAUUGAGGCAGAUGGGGGACAGAGACCUCAAAGAAAUGGGGAUACCUAUGGGACCAAGAAAGAAGAUUCUCCUUGCUCUCUUGGCCGGCCUGAAAAGGCAAACAUUGUGACCGCAAUAGUUCUAUGACAGGUGAUUCCAUAUCUACAUGUAAUCUUGCUGAUUUUUGAGGUGUGUUUCUUUUGGAAGUCUACAUGAAAUUUUGUGAUUGCUGUGCUUGGGAGUGAGUGUAUAUGACUCUGAAAGUAGAUAUUGAUUGGGAUUGUUGGUAGAUAGAACAGGAUGAGAUAAGCAAGUCAAAUGUAUAUUGUCGUCAGUGUUUGGAGAUCUUUUAUUGUAGCAUUUCAAUUAUGGUAAAUAUGUGCUUGCAUUUGAA